GACGAACGCUGGCGGCGUGCCUAACACAUGCAAGUCGAACGAGACCUUCGGGUCUAGUGGCGCACGGGUGCGUAACGCGUGGGGAUCUGCCCUUGGGCUCGGAGUAACUCGCCGAAAGGCGUGCUAAUACCGGAUGAUGUCGUAAGACCAAAGAUUUAUCGCCUAGGGAUGAGCCCGCGUAAGAUUAGGUAGUUGGUGAGGUAAAGGCUCACCAAGCCGACGAUCUUUAGCUGGUCUGAGAGGAUGAUCAGCCACGCUGGGACUGAGACACGGCCCAG
rnacentral:rRNA from 1 species